GUAGGGAAUCUUGCGCAAUGGGCGAAAGCCUGACGCAGCCAUGCCGCGUGAAUGAUGAAGGUCUUAGGAUUGUAAAAUUCUUUCACCGGGGACGAUAAUGACGGUACCCGGAGAAGAAGCCCCGGCUAACUUCGUGCCAGCAGCCGCGGUAAUACGAAGGGGGCUAGCGUUGCUCGGAAUUACUGGGCGUAAAGGGAGCGUAGGCGGAUAGUUUAGUCAGAGGUGAAAGCCCAGGGCUCAACCUUGGAAUUGCCUUUGAUACUGGCUAUCUUGAGUAUGGAAGAGGUAUGUGGAACUCCGAGUGUAGAGGUGAAAUUCGUAGAUAUUCGGAAGAACACCAGUGGCGAAGGCGACAUACUGGUCCAUUACUGACGCUCAUGUGCGAAAGCUAGGGCAGCGAACGGGAUUAGAUACCCCUGUAGUCC
rnacentral:rRNA from 1 species